UCAUCCUGCUGGCAUCUGAGGAAGUGGAAGGCCACAAAGAGAAGGAAUUGAGGAGUUGGGAUAGCUUCCAUCAUAACAAGAAGUAAAAAGCUGAAAACUGAAAGUCAGCAGCUCUUCUGGAAUCUUGAGAUAACAUGUCAAGCCACUGCCCUCCAAAGCAAAGGUGGACGAGUAGAUACAGAGGUUCCCAGCUCCUGUGAACAGAAACCCCAAUGUCAGCCCUAGCCAGGAUCCAAAUGUGUAACUGAUGAAGGGCAAGAGGCUCGAUGGAUAAAGGACACAGAUGAGAUGCCUGGUAGUGUGACAACCACAGAAUGGCUAAGCAACAACGAAUUACUGAAAUUAAAGAAUCAGAGCUAGAAUUUAACACAUGGGAAUUGUGCUUGCAAGUGAAUGCAGGAAGGUUAAUGGUGAACACGAGAAAGCAGCCCAGACGGUCACUGUUUUGUCCUUCAUAGUGCUCAUUAGUGCCCGGGAAAAGUAAAAGAGGGCUAUGGAUAUUGCUCAAAGGGAAAUCUGUGUCAGAGACCUGUGGACCUGAGAGGACAGCAUCGGUUCAAAAUCUGGGAACUGUCCCAAGCAUGUAUUAGGAUGCAAAUUAAUUUGAGCCUUGUUUCCCCUGCUCUUGCCACUGGGAGCGCAUUGGGUGGGAAGGUUAAUUCAGUGCAGCCUUAUCUCCCGUGGGCACUGCUGGGGAGCCUUGGAAUCAUUUUGUUUCUCAUCUCUGGAAAUGGAAUGUGCUUUGCCUCACUGAUGAGUAGGGGAGGAAAGAGGUCAACCUGGAGAGAUUAGGAUGCCUACCAAGGCUCCCUGUGCUGCAAGGGGUUAUUAAGGAUCCCAGAAGUGAGAGGCUGCAGUUAGUUUUAGUUCUGAGGAGCUGUGUCUGUAAGGCUUUCUGUGCAGCUGUAGGACAUUGCUGAAGUCCCCCUUCCCUGACUGCUGCUUCCAAAGAGAACAUCCACACAUGAGCAUGUAUCUGACACUGAAGACAACCAAGAUCCAGUUCAGCCAAAGGGAAAUAAAAUGCAUACACUUUUCAAGCA
rnacentral:lncRNA from 1 species